AGUUGAAUAGCUGGGUCAAAUGGUGGCUCCAUUCCAAGUUUUCUGAUCAAUCUCCAUAUUGCUUUCCAGAUUGGUUGUACCAAUUUGCAGUCCUGCCAGCCAU
rnacentral:pre_miRNA from 1 species